rnacentral:rRNA from 1 species
UGGGGAAUAUUGGACAAUGGGCGCAAGCCUGAUCCAGCCAUGCCGCGUGAGUGAUGAAGGCCUUAGGGUUGUAAAGCUCUUUUGUCCGGGAAGAUAAUGACCGUGCCGGAAGAAUAAGCUCCGGCUAACUUCGUGCCAGCAGCCGCGGUAAUACGAAGGGAGCUAGCGUUGUUCGGAAUUACUGGGCGUAAAGCGCAUGCAGGCGGAUCGUUAAGUCGAGGGUGAAAUCCCAGGGCUCAACCCUGGAACUGCCUUCGAUACUGGCGACCUUGAGUCCGGGAGAGGUGAGUGGAACUCCGAGUGUAGAGGUGAAAUUCGUAGAUAUUCGGAAGAACACCAGUGGCGAAGGCGGCUCACUGGCCCGGUACUGACGCUGAGAUGCGAAAGCGUGGGGAGCAAACA